rnacentral:rRNA from 1 species
GACGAACGCUGGCGGCGUGCUUAACACAUGCAAGUCGAACGGAAAGGCCCUGCUUUUGUGGGGUGCUCGAGUGGCGAACGGGUGAGUAACACGUGAGUAACCUGCCCUUGACUUUGGGAUAACUUCAGGAAACUGGGGCUAAUACCGGAUAGGAGCUCCUGCUGCAUGGUGGGGGUUGGAAAGUUUCGGCGGUUGGGGAUGGACUCGCGGCUUAUCAGCUUGUUGGUGGGGUAGUGGCUUACCAAGGCUUUGACGGGUAGCCGGCCUGAGAGGGUGACCGGCCACAAUGGGACUGAGAGACGGCCCAGACGCCUACGGGAGGCAGCGGUGGGGAAUAUUGCCCAAUGGGCGGAAGCCUGAUGCAGCAACGCCGCGUGCGGGAUGACGGCCUUCGGGUUGUAAACCGCUUUCGCCUGUGACGAAGCGUGAGUGACGGUAAUGGGUAAAGAAGCACCGGCUAACUACGUG